AUUGAACGCUGGCGGCAGGCCUAACACAUGCAAGUCGAGCGGAUGAGAGGAGCUUGCUCUUCGAUUCAGCGGCGGACGGGUGAGUAAUGCCUAGGAAUCUGCCUAGUAGUGGGGGACAACGUUUCGAAAGGAACGCUAAUACCGCAUACGUCCUACGGGAGAAAGUGGGGGAUCUUCGGACCUCACGCUAUUAGAUGAGCCUAGGUCGGAUUAGCUAGUUGGUAGGGUAACGGCCUACCAAGGCGACGAUCCGUAACUGGUCUGAGAGGAUGAUCAGUCACACGGGAAGUGCGACACGGGCCAGACGCCUACGGGGGGCAGCAGUGGGGAAUAUGGGACAAUGGGCGAAAGCCUGAUCCAGCCAUGCCGCGUGUGUGAAGAAGGCCCUCGGGUCGUAAAGCACUUUAAGUUGGGAGGAAGGGCUUACAGCGAAUACCUGUGAGUUUUGACGUUACCGACAGAAUAAGCACCGGCUAACUUCGUGCCAGCAGCCGCCGCGG
rnacentral:rRNA from 1 species